rnacentral:rRNA from 1 species
UAGAGUUUGAUCCUGGCUCAGGACGAACGCUGGCGGCGUGCCUAAUACAUGCAAGUCGAGCGAAUCGACGGGAGCUUGCUCCCUGAGAUUAGCGGCGGACGGGUGAGUAACACGUGGGCAACCUGCCUAUAAGACUGGGAUAACUUCGGGAAACCGGAGCUAAUACCGGAUACGUUCUUUUCUCGCAUGAGAGAAGAUGGAAAGACGGUUUACGCUGUCACUUAUAGAUGGGCCCGCGGCGCAUUAGCUAGUUGGUGAGGUAAUGGCUCACCAAGGCGACGAUGCGUAGCCGACCUGAGAGGGUGAUCGGCCACACUGGGACUGAGACACGGCCCAGACUCCUACGGGAGGCAGCAGUAGGGAAUCUUCCGCAAUGGACGAAAGUCUGACGGAGCAACGCCGCGUGAACGAAGAAGGCCUUCGGGUCGUAAAGUUCUGUUGUUAGGGAAGAACAAGUACCAGAGUAACUGCUGGUACCUUGACGGUACCUAACCAGAAAGCCACGGCUAACUACGUGCCAGCAGCCGCGGUAAUACGUAGGUGGCAAGCGUUGUCCGGAAUUAUUGGGCGUAAAGCGCGCGCAGGUGGUUCCUUAAGUCUGAUGUGAAAGCCCACGGCUCAACCGUGGAGGGUCAUUGGAAACUGGGGAACUUGA